AACGAACGCUGGCGGCAUGCCUAACACAUGCAAGUCGAACGAAGUCUUCGGACUUAGUGGCGCACGGGUGCGUAACGCGUGGGAAUCUGCCCUUGGGUGCGGAAUAACUUCUCGAAAGGGAUGCUAAUACCGCAUAAUGUCGUAAGACCAAAGAUUUAUCGCCCAAGGAUGAGCCCGCGUAAGAUUAGCUAGUUGGUGGGGUAAAAGCCUACCAAGGCGACGAUCUUUAGCUGGUCUGAGAGGAUGAUCAGCCACACUGGGACUGAGACACGGCCCAGACUCCUACGGGAGGCAGCAGUGGGGAAUAUUGGACAAUGGGCGAAAGCCUGAUCCAGCAAUGCCGCGUGAGUGAUGAAGGCCCUAGGGUUGUAAAGCUCUUUUACCAGGGAUGAUAAUGACGGUACCUGGAAAAGAAGCCUCGGCUAACUCCGUGCCAGCAGCCGCGGUAAU
rnacentral:rRNA from 1 species